CUUUAUAACAAUCAUAAUGUAAGAAAAGUGGUUAUAUUAACCUUCUACAGAGUCUUUAAUUUGCCAGUGAAAACAAACAAUUUUAAAAUGGAAAACAGGAUUCAUCUGAGAAGCAGGCCAGGAGUUCUGAAAGCCCUAAAUAGCAUAUCGUAUCUUUUUCACUUUAUUGCCACACCUCUAAUUUGCUUGGAGGAACUUGUGUUAACUGUUAUAAAGAAAACUUCCAUAAUAAAAUCCAUCAGGCUUUUGAUAGUCUCUAUUUUAAUAUUAGUUGUAUCUCCAUUGUAGAUUCCUUAACCAACUUUCUAGCAUAUUCCAAUAUGCUAGAAUGAUUUCUGCCACCUGGAGCCAUUAUCAUCUUGAACCACUGUAGAGCUUUGGGCUUAUCUGCAUAAAACUACAUCGUGUGUGCAUCUACAAUUGAUUCUACGGGAACUAUAAAUAGAGAGCAAUCUAAAAGCCAAGUGCUCAUCCAUUUGAGAUUAAUUGCCUCUUCCAGGUCACUAAUUCAUACCCCAGUGUCCCAGGAGAGUUAAUUUAUUUCCCAUGAGUGACCAUUUGACUCUGUGAAGGUAUUUUAACUCACCCGGGCUUAACACAGGACAAAUCUUAUUACUCUAACUUAGUUACACUGCAAUAAACAUGGUUUCCCUUUCUCUUUCCCAGCUUGUUUACUCAGGGCCAGAACUAAGUCUUCCUUUCGACCCUACUCUUUCGACCCUACUAGUGAUUUAACUCAGUUUAAACAGUUCCAAGCCCAGUAAUUUACAAUUAAGAGUGUGUGACAUUAGAGAUGGAAUUUAUAAUAUUUAAAAUAACUUCAAGUAAGGGUAAAUGAAGUCACAUGUUCUAUAAGCAAAUGACAAAUGGAUCUCAGGCCCUUCUGUAAUCAAAUAAGAAUGUGAAGAAUAAAAUUCUUGUAAAAAAUAUUGUUGAUUUCAAUGUUAAGGAUCUAAUUUGGUCACAGUUUUAAAACAAACAGGAGAAAUAAAAAGACAGCAAUCAAUGAACAGCAGCAUGAACAUUCAAAGGCAAAAAUCUGAAAUACAAACAUGAUG
rnacentral:lncRNA from 1 species